GUGGGAGCGGGCUUGCUCGCGAAUGCGGUGUAUCAGUUCCAGAUUUGUUGGCUGACCCACCCAUUCGCGAGCAAGCCCGCUCCCAC
rnacentral:misc_RNA from 1 species